GAUUUCUGAAUCUCCUUAUACGCUAUCGGCCACGGUUUCGUGUGUCAGUGUAGUGUAUGGAAUUCAUCCUUUCACUGGCGCUCGGCUGGCUCUUCUUGAUUGAAGUGGCUCAGCUCGCUGUGAAUCGUUUACUUUGAAAAAAUUAGAGUGUUUCAGGCAGGCCAUCCGCUUUGAAUACAUUAGCAUGGAAUAAUGAUUUAGGACUUCGGUUCUAUUUUGUUGGUUUCUAGGACUGAAGUAAUGAUUGAUAGGGAUAGUUGGGGGUGCUAGUAUUCAGCGGCCAGAGGUGAAAUUCUCGGAUUCGCUGAAGACUAACUUAUGCGAAAGCAUU
rnacentral:rRNA from 1 species